AUAAGAUGUAUCAACAGAUGAUAAUAAGAGCAAUCUUUUCGAAUAUAGGACACAUGUUAACAAUGUACAUUUUUCCUCCAACUCUUUUCCAAUUAUACAUAUCAUAACUCUUCCACGAGCGUUUGUUAAAUACGUGCUAUUCCGUUUGAACGAGAGCUUUGUACUAAAAAAUCUUGCAGGUGCAGCAGAGACCUUGGCCGGAGUCUGCAGCUGAUUUUUUUUAUAUUCGAAAACAGUUACACUGUGUUGUUAAAUAAGCCGUCAAGGUCUUUCAAACGGGAUAAAUGUGGAUGAGAGACAGCUUCUCGGUAUUCUGUCUGCAAGAGGGGACUGCACAGCACUUGCUGGGACUUCGCCUGUACUCGUUGUUCCUUUUUCCUAUGCACAUACCUCUUUGAGAAUUUGGUCUAAAGAGGCAUAGGGCAUGGGAAAAUGGGGCGAUGGAGGCUGCGUCUUCUGCCCGCAAGCCAUUGAAGAGAAGGAACCUGCGUCGUUCUAGGUCAACGCCAACCGCUUUGCUAAAGUGGCUGGCAAAAUCUCUGAACGUCUUUCUUUUUCAACAUGCUACUUUAAAAUAAAAUCAAACUGCCGAAAACUUUAUAUUUCUAUGCAUUGCUGCAAUAAAGUCGUCAAUAUUCAA